rnacentral:rRNA from 1 species
UAUGGCUCAGGAUGAACGCUAGCUACAGGCUAACACAUGCAAGUCAGGGCAGCAUGGUCAAAGCUUGCUUGACUGAUGGCGACCGGCGCACGGGUGAGUAACGCGUAGUCCAACCUGGCCCAGUAGUAGGGAAUAGCCCGGCGAAAGUCGGAUUAAUGCCCUAUGUUCUUUACAGCGGACAUCUAACGUAAAGCAAAGAUUUAUCGCUAUGGGAUGGGGAUGCGUCUGAUUAGCUUGUCGGCGGGGUAACGGCCCACCGAGGCGACGAUCAGUAGGGGUUCUGAGAGGAAGGUCCCCCACAUUGGUACUGAGACACGGACCAAACUCCUACGGGAGGCAGCAGUGAGGAAUAUUGGUCAAUGGGCGCGAGCCUGAACCAGCCAAGUAGCCGUGCAGGACGACUGCCCUAUGGGUUGUAAACUGCUUUUAUAGGGGAAUAAAGUGGGGCACGCGUGCCUUUUUGUAUGUACCCUAUGAAUAAGGACCGGCUAAUUCCGUGCCAGCAGCGGC